CCUACGGGAGGCAGCAGUCGAGAAUCAUUCACAAUGGGGGAAACCCUGAUGGUGCGACGCCGCGUGGAGGAAUGAAGGUCUUCGGAUUGUAAACCCCUGUCAUGUGGGAGCAAAUUAAAAAGAUAGUACCACAAGAGGAAGAGACGGCUAACUCUGUGCCAGCAGCCGCGGUAAUACAGAGGUCGCAAGCGUUUUUAGGAAUCACUGGGCGUAAAGCGUGCGUAGGCUGUUUCGUAAGUCGGGUGUGAAAGGUGCGGGCUCAACCCGCGGACGGCACAUGAUACUGCGAGACUAGAGUAAUGGAGGGGGAACCGGAAUUCUCGGUGUAGCAGUGAAAUGCGUAGAUAUCGAGAGGAACUCUCGUGGCGAAGGCGGGUUCCUGGACAUUAACUGACGCUGAGGCACGAAGGCCAGGGGAGCGAAAGGGAUUAGAUACCCCAGUAGUC
rnacentral:rRNA from 1 species